GAUGAACGCUAGCGGCAGGCCUAAUACAUGCAAGUCGAGGGAGAAUGUUGGAUUCGUCUGACAUGAAACCGGCGCACGGGUGCGUAACACGUAUGCAACCUACCUUUAACUGGGGUAUAGCUCAGAGAAAUCUGAAUUAAUCCCCCAUAAGACUACGACAUGGCAUCAUGAUGUAGUUAAAGCUCCGGCGGUUAAGGAUGGGCAUGCGGUACAUUAGCUAGUUGGUGAGGUAAUGGCUCACCAAGGCUACGAUGUAUAGGGGGUCUGAGAGGGUGAUCCCCCACACUGGUACUGGGACACGGACCAGACUCCUACGGGAGGCAGCAGUAGGGAAUAUUGGUUAAUGGACGCAAGUCUGAACCAGCCAUGCCGCGUGAAGGAUGAAGGCCCUAUGGGUCGUAAACUUCUUUUAUUAGGGAAGAAAAAACGGGAUGCGUCCUGUACUGACGGUACUUAAUGAAUAAGGAUCGGCUAACUUCGUGCCAGCCGCCGCCGUAA
rnacentral:rRNA from 1 species